GUGAGGAAUAUUGGUCAAUGGAGGAAACUCUGAACCAGCCAAGUCGCGUGAAGGAUGACGGUCCUAUGGAUUGUAAACUUCUUUAGUAGGUGAGUAAGGAUAGGUACGUGUACCUAUUAGAAAGUAGCCUAAGAAUAAGUAUCGGCUAACUCCGUGCCAGCAGCCGCGGUAAUACGGAGGAUACGAGCGUUAUCCGGAUUUAUUGGGUUUAAAGGGUGCGUAGGUGGCUGAUUAAGUCAGUGGUGAAAAGCUAUGGCUCAACCAUAGUCUUGCCGUUGAUACUGGUUAGCUUGAGUGUAGAUGAUGUAGGCGGAAUGCGUAGUGUAGCGGUGAAAUGCAUAGAUAUUACGCAGAACUCCGAUUGCGAAGGCAGCUUACAAAACUACUACUGACACUGAGGCACGAAAGCGUGGGUAUCAAACAGGA
rnacentral:rRNA from 1 species